GGAAAAAGAAAAAGAAAACAAACAAACCAACAAACAAACAUUUAUCCUGAUUAUAAUAAUUCCACUUUUGUUAACAUUGUUAGUUGACUUCCUCAAAUCCCCCUGUCUGAGUUUCCACAUAAACCAUUGUAACAGUUUUCCAAAACUAUUUCCCCAUAAACUUUACUUGGUCAAUUAACAUCUUACUUUCUUUUCAUUUUUAAUUUUAACAUAAUAUUUUACACAUCGCAUUUUCAAAUCCUAGGCCUAUCUGGUACUCGCAAGUAAUUCUAAUUAGAUUAUCUUAAGAUAUUUAGCUAAAUAGUCUUUGAAUUUCUUCCAUUCCUUUUGGUGCUCCUCCUCCCUCUGGUCAUGGACUUUUCUGGUCAAGAGUCUACGAUUCUUGAGUUCUCGUUGUUCUGUUUGGGGAAAGGGUUGUGAAUAAAUGAAUUGUCCUUAGAGUGCUGUAUACAUACAGCAAUUAUUGUUUAUUAUUUACAGAGUACCAUCAGAAUGCAUGGGGUUUUUCCUAGUACACAUGGGAAGGUCUCUGCCCCCAAGACCUGACAGCCUGCAAUCUGACACAGGGAGACAGCAGAAGAUGGAGAGGAAAGUUGAAGCAGAGGUGAAUGGGUGCUGUAAUUACCAACUCACUACCAGGGGAACUAAAGGCUUGUACUUAAGACUCCAUGGAAAAAGUUGGUUUUAAGAGGGGUUUUGAAGGGACUUAGGGAAGUGGGCGGAUGCGGGUGGCGCUGUGGGUUAAACCACAGAGCCUAGGACUUGCCGAUCAGAAGGUUGGUGGUUCGAAUCCCCGCCACGGGGUGAGCGCCCGUUGCUCGGUCCCUGCUCCUGCCAACCUAGCAGCUUGAAAGCACAUCAAAGUGCAAGUAGAUAAAUAGGUACCACUCCGGCGGGAAGGUAAACGCCGUUUCCGUGCACUGCUCUGGUUUCACCAGAAGCGGCUUAGUCAUGCUGGCCACAUGACCCGGAAAAACUGUCUGCGGACAAACGCCGGCUCCCUCGGCCAGUAAAGUGAAAUGAGUGCGUCAUCUGCGGCUGGACUUAACUGUCAGGGGUCCUUUACCUUUACCUUUUAGGGAAGUGGGGACCAUGCAGGUUUUCUGGGAGUUAAGUCCCAAGCACAUGGGGGCAACAAGGCAGAAAUGAUGGAGCCUUUCCUGGGAGACGGAGGCCUUCGGAUGGCAGAGCUGGCGCAGCAGAAGCCACAUGCAAAGAUAGAUUGGGAUGUAAAAGGGGAGAGAUUGCAACGGGGAGGAGAGGAGGAGACUGUGGAGUUGAGUCACAAUGAAUGCACCAGCAGUGUUGGAGUGAUUAAAGCUGGAAUGCAGGAACAGCCAGCAGUUGCAAAGAUUGUUAUCAGGCAAGAUAGCAAAUUUGGACUGAUAGCCUGAAGGUCAAAGAUUGCUCCGAAGGCCCAGGGCUGCGGCUAAAUAGCAGAGCAUGUAUUGUGCAUGCCAGAAGUUCUAGGUUCAAUUCCCGCUAUCUCCAGGUAAGUCUGGGGAAAGACUCCUGCCUGCAAAUCCUGGAGGGUUGCUGCCAGACAGCGUAGGCGAUACUGAACUGAAUGCAUAUGGCUGUUUCAUAUGUUCCAAUAGGUUUCAUGAGAAUAGUAUGGGGAUGCGGGUGGCGCUGUGGUCUAAACCACUGAGCCUCUUGGGCUUGCCAAUCAGAAGGUUGGUGGUUCGAAUCCCUGCGACGGGGGUGAGCUCCCGUUGCUCUGUCCCUGCUCCUGCCAACCAAGCAGUUUGAAAGCACACCAGUGCAAGUAGAUCAAUAGGUACCACUGCAGCAGGAAGGUAAAUGGCGUUUCCAUGUGCUCUGGUUUCUGUCACUGUGUCCUGUUGUACCAGAAGUGGUUUAGUCAUGCUGGCCACUUGACCCGGAAAUCUGUCUGUGGACAAACACCGGCUCCCUUGGCCUGAAUCGAGAUGAGUGCUGCAACCGCAUAGUCGCCUUUGAUUGGACUUAACCGUCCAGGGGCCCUCUACCCAUUUUUAUGGGAAACCUGCAAAAAGGACUUGAAUGCAACAGUGCUCUCUUUCUCUCUCCCCCCCCCCCCCCCCGCAAUUCCCAUCAGAGGCAGCCUGGGGCUAAUCGCUAGUAAGUAAAGGUAAAGGGACCCUUGACCAUUAGGUCCAGUCGUGGCCGACUCUGGGGUUGGGGUGCUCAUCUCGCUUUAUUGGCUGAGGGAGCCGGCGUACAGCUUCCAGGUCAUGUGGCCAGCAUGACUAAGCCACUUCUGGCGAACCAGAGCAGCACACAGAAACACCAUUUACCUUCCCACUGGAGCAGUACCUAUUUAUCUACUUGCACUAUGACGUGCUUUCGAACUGCUAGGUUGGCAGGAGAAGAGACCGAGCAAUGGGAGCUCACCCUGUUGUGGGGAUUCGAACCGCCGACCUUCUGAUCGGCAAGUCCUAGGCUCUGUGGUUUAACCCACAGCGCCACCCACAUCCUAGUCUCUAGUAGCUGUUGUUAAUUAAGGUUUUGAGUUUUCCAUUACCCUUCGCCAGGACCGGUGCAGAAUGAAAUGUUUGUAUGCACAUGGGUUAGUUGGUAUAUAAAAUGUGGGACAUGCUAUGCCACCCUCAAAGUCUGCGAUUAUAACAAUUUUAAGAUGAUGGAGUUUUGAAGAUGAUUUCCAUGUUGGCUGUGGAGGGAGAGGAACCUGUCUGGCCUCAGAUCUGCCCCUCCUCCUCCACCAGCUUUUUUUCCCUAGAAGUGAAUUUUGGUUUUUUUGCUAGCUGGCUAAGCUGCUAGUCCCCUGUGUUUCCACGAUGGCUACCGAGAAAAGAGGGGUCUGCAGCAAGGACAGAAGCACAAGCUACUAGCUCUUAAAAGAUUAAUGAAAACAUGUGUAGGCCGGUAACUUUUGAGGACUGUGGUUUGUUAAGGGGGCUGGGAACUGUAGCCCUUUGGGGAAUAAACUACAGUUCCCAGGAUUCUUAGCAAAGGCAGUAAUACGAUUUAAAUUUAUGGUGCGUAUGCAGCCUUGCUCUUAUCUUCACUGUUUAUCCUCCCUCUCUAGAAUAUAAUUAAUAUAUAAUGAAGGAAAAAAUUCAAAUGCUGAUUUCAAAGUAACUAUGUCCUUUAUAGAACCUUAAUAAGAGAAUAUACACAUGGAUUUACGUGCUCUGUGCUUUCCACGCUUCCAUUUCCUGCUUAAACUUGUGAGCAGUUGAUUUUAAGAUUUGGCCCCAACAGUGAUCUCCGAAGCAGAUAUAUUUAUUGUGCUGCAAUGCCCCCUGGUGGAAUAUGAAAGAUCUACAGCAGACUAGAAUACAUUGCCAUGACCGUUGAAUUGUAGAUGACUGUUUCUCUAAAUCUUUUGUUUACCUAUUUUACGGAAAUUACGGGGGGGGGCACAUCUUUAAAGUUGUUAAAUGUUACAAAUAUUAUGCAUAAAUGUAUCCUUUUGACUUGACGGCUCAGGGCAGUUACCUAGCUUUAAAAAUCAUAUUAAAUCAAUUGGAAGAAGCAAGAUUUACCAACUAUCGAAGAAUGGCAGAUGAAGAUGAUGGACUAUAUGGAACUUGCCGAACUGACUGGGAGACUCCGAGACCAGAGAGAAGAGACGGUGGAAGAAGAUUGGAAGGCGUUUAAAGAAUAUUUGAAAAAAUAUGUUAAUAUUUAAAUCUUAGAAUAGCUUUAGAAGUGGAUAUAGGCUGUACGGUUAGAAGUAGAAGAUAGUGUAUUUUAAAAUAGUAUUAUUUGUAGGUGAUAAAAUGUGAAGAUUUUUAUGGUAAAAGUAAGCGUGAUAAAAAAAAUGGUUAGAAAUUAUGAUAUAUGUAAUCUGCUAAAGAUGAGGUAAAAUGAAAAUCAGAUGGGGGGACUUGGGGAAGUUCAUCUAACAAUGUUUAGAAAAAAUAAGGAUAAGACAAGAAUUUGUUUGUAUUGUUUGUUUUUCUGUUUGUGUUGUUUAGUUGUGUUAUAAAAUGAAUUAAAAAAUUGGGGAGGGGGAAUCAACUCCUUUGCCAGUUUCCUUCAUUCCACCGCCAAUUUGCUUCAUUGGCCAAGGACUUGGAAACCACUCGGUCCCCGGCAUAAUCCCUCAAGCGGGAGGUCAGUACUCACAGGAAGGUACUUAUAGAUGUCAAUCACUGGGCAAAGGCACUCCUCCAGACUUGCCCAGGUGGCAGACUAUGCAAACCAAAGUUCUAUUGUCCUCUUUCAGUGGGUGCUUAGAAUGUACUUCCCAAUACAUAUCCUGUAUCCGCCUGUUGCCCCAACACAUUCCUCCUAUGUUAAUCAUGUAUAACCCUCCCCUUUUCUGAUAUAGCAAUGAUGUUGUGAUGGUGCUUAAUGAACUGUAUGCUGGGAUAAGAUCGAAACUUUUAAAAGUCCUUGU
rnacentral:lncRNA from 1 species